AAGGAACUGCUGGGAGCGGCGCGUGGCUUCUGGGCGCCCGGCACCGCCGCUGGGCCUAGGGAAGGCGUUUGUAACCAGAGGCUCAGGUCUGGGCGCCCCGCGCAGAGGUCUCCGGACUGCGGCAUUUCACUGCCACCCGCUUCCUCCUGCGCGCGGCUGCGGUUCCAGCUACAGCCCCGAUCACCUCCUGCCCCGCGAGCGGCUCUGCCUCGGAGGAAGCUCGGCCCAUGCGUGGCGCCCGCUGUCGCCCUGGGGACGAGGCUGGAGGCUCCCGGCCUUAGCGCUUCUGGCGCCAGAGCAGCUCUGCCGCAGCUGCCGAGACAGAGAUUUUGAAGAGCAUGAGCGGCGGCUUCAAUCAAACCGGCUUGGGUUGAGCUCUUCUGUCGGGCUGUUUGCAAACCUAACCCUGGCAGGGACAGGGCUGGGACUCACGCCUUACUACUCCCCGUUCAGUGAGGAAAUCUUUCAGUGGCUGUGGAAGUCGUUCUCGUAUUUAGAAACAGAGCUGCGACCUCGUCUCCUGGAGUCUGAGGAUCCUCUGUCUCCUUCUCGCUGGCUUUCUAUCAACUCAGGUAAUUUAGUUGCUACAGAUAGCUGCCAGUAUUUUGAAUCCUGCCAUUUUCCCUGUUAAAACAAAGUUGCAUGUAUUAGUAGUAAUGUGUGCAGACAACCAAUUUGCAGGAAUUCAAAUACAGAAUAGCUCACAACUAUAACAAUUUUAAAAUGGAAAAAUUAAGAACAAGCAAGGUAUGCAGAAGCAAAGAUCUGUAUUUAGAAGCAACAAACAGUCAAUUUUGGACUAGAAACAUAAGGAGCCACCAUGACUGCCAAUUUGGUCAAAACACGACUUAGUAGGUAACAAAAAAUUUAAAAGAAUAUCUGUAUGUACAUGUUAAAACAUCAGCUAAGUAUGUAGCAUGAAGGAAGCCUCUAUUUUGUAGAGCAUCGCAAAACGAAGGCCCUACACCCAGUCAUUCCUGAAGAGCUCAUCUCUCGAGUGCAGAUCCAUACAAGAACGAAUGCCUCAGCAUAGAGCCAAAGCAGCAGAAGUCUUACAAAACAGCCUCCAUAGUAAAGGAACCAAUUCCUCCCCUCUCCCUCCCUGAGAUACAGAAGUGCAGCUAAAAAAGGAGAUGAAAAAGCCACUUCAUGCUUCUAGCCAACACACUAGUUUGGAGUAGAAUUAACCCCAUUUUAGGGCACUGAAUUAGUGCUUAGUUUGGGGUAAAAGAAACGGGGGGAGCAAUCCAUGAAGAAAAAGCAGAGAGGUAGUUAGGCAGGAGGCAGGGCAGCAUGACACCUUACAGCAAGGAUGGGCAAAAUAUGGCCUGCGGGCCAGAUCCAGCCCAAAGGAUUUUAUCCAGCCUGCAAUGGCCCCACCUGCCCCAGACAUGGGAGGCAGCCUGGCUCAUGGCAUGUGCUGCUGGUCUCACUGCCCCUUGGCACACAGUGGGGCUGGGGCAGCACAGCAACCAGACUCUGCUUCCUAGCUGCUGGCAGUGGCAGCCAGAAGCAUCGCUACAGCUAGACCUGGCCCUACUGUCCAGGUACCCUGGUCCAUCCAUCCUGCACCCACUGCCAGGUAUCAGAUGGAGCAGGUAGGUGGAGACUGGCCUGGGACCCAUGUGGGCAGGUUGUGCUUGGCUGGGUGGAUGGGAUGGGGCCAUGGGUGGAUGGGGAGUAGCAUCAGAGUGGGACAGGUGGGUCCAGGGUCAGGAUCACAGGGCAGUGACAAUGCAGGGCCAGGGCCCCAGGCAGAGGCACAAUAUGCUGCCUGCACAUCCCUGUGAUGAGCAACAGUUCCACAGGCAGGGGUGUGCUGGGAGCAGAUCAUGGCUCAGCCUUGGACCUGGGCCCAGGCCCCUUCAUUGUCACUGUCCUGCAAGUUUGGCCCUGCCCACCCACCCCACUCCCCACAGCCCCAUCCCAUCCACCAGAUCAAGCACCUUCCUACAGGGGUCCUGGGUUGGUCUCUAUGGAGACCCCAGGGCCAGGAUUACUGGGUGAUCCCAGCAUGGAGCCAGGCUCCAGGGCAAAGCCACUUAAGGAGUUUUGGUGAGCAGUUGGGGCCAGGAGGAGGGUAGGUGCUGAUCCAGCCUGCAACUGCUCACCAAUAUUCCCAAGUGGUCUUCCAGCCUAAAUAACUGUCUGUCCUGCCUUAGAGACUAACUAGUUCAGAGAGGCGCAAGCUUUUUUAGGCUGCAGCCUACUUAAUCAGAUGCUACAAAUGGAUUUUUCAGAGUUCAGAGGUACUAAAGAGAAAGGAAUAACGUAAUUUAAAUACAUAAAAUAGGGAAAUGGAGAGGAAAGAAGGGAACACUACUGAGAGCAAGCAAAAGUAUGUACUAGGAAAGAUCUGUAUUUAGAGAGCCCAAACAGAUAGCAUCCAGAGUUCAUUCACUUGCUCCUUUACCAAAAAUCACAUAUGCCACCACCCGCUUAUAGUGUCCCUCUGCUGUUUGCAUUUGACAAAAAGAGCAGUCACUAUAUGAAAAAAAAAAAAAAGACACUAAUUUGAUGCCAAUUCUAGAAAGACAAAAGCCUGUGACAGGGGACUUUAACCUCCCUAGACAGUCCAUCACUGACUUCAAAGCAGCUGUUCUGAAACAGCAAAACUUUAAAAGAAAAACAAUGAUCUGAAUGCUGAACUGCAGGACAUAUCAUCUACAGACUGGACUGUUUUAAGUAUGAUCUCAAUGGAGACCCUGGAUUCUUAUCCCAUUACCUGAACUAGUUGUUAUAAUCCCCAUGUUCCUCAGUGGGUUAACUGCUUUAUUUACCAUUUUUUAUUUCGUCAGCCUGCAUUCACCUUUCUCCCCUUUCUCUCAUCUUUUGUAUUUGAAUAAUGUUAUUCCUUCCUACUUAGCACGCCUUCUCUCCACAAGUCUAUCAACAAAGUAGGCUGUAGCCUACUAAUGCUCAUGACCCUUUAAACAAAUUAGCCUUCAACACUGGUCGGAAACAUUUUCUCACUGUGGGCUGGAAUAGUUCUGCUCAGAUCCAAGGUGGGCUGGCACUAGAACCCAACUGUCACUGCUUGUCCCCACUGUCCAGCUGUGGCACAGCACAGGAAAGCUUUCCACUGCUCAGCUACAGCAUGGUGUCAGCAAAGCCCACAAAAUGCCACCAAUGCCCCCAAAUGCUUCCAAGACCCCAGGUCAAUGGGCCAUAUCCAAUGGCUCUGGCUAUAAGUUGCUGAACCCUGAUCUAUAAACCCUGUCCUGCCUUCUGAAUGAGAUUAGUAAAAUGAAAGCAGCCCAGUGUACCAGAAGAAAUAACAGCUGUAGCAAAUCUGAUUUCAGAAGUUUCUGGAGAGACCAAAGACCACUGCAUUUUAGCAAGCGAAUUGACUGGAGAAGCUGAUAUGGGCAAACCAAGGAAAGUUCCACAUUAAUUCGUGAACAGAGACUGUAGUGUAAGAAGUAGCACUAAACAAGGUGAAAAAAAACCAAACAAAAAAACCUAAACCUGAUUUUGAUAAAAGGAAAAACAGAUUUCAUACCACAUUUAUUGGAGGAAUUUGUUUUAAAUUUAGGGUGAAGGAAAGUUAUGGUAGGAACUGCUUUUCAUUGCGAUUGUAAGUAUUAAGUUUGGCUAUGGAGUUCAGUCCAGCAGAAGUGACAGAGAAGGGAGGCAAAUCUAUGUUAUGAAAGCAUUUGGGAUCUCCUGCUAUAAAUUUAAGAACUCUACUGAAAUAAGUACCUGUAUUUCUCGUAGAUCUGAAGCAAGAAUAUCAAAACACACACCCUAAAAAGAGAAUAAUUUUAGUAUCAGUUUGUUAUAUACAACAGUGAAACAAAAGAAAGCAGUACUGUAUUGCAGGAAAUUGUGCAGAGCCAAGUUUAACUUGAAGAUACAGAAAUUCUACCUUUGGAAAAAAAAUAAACAAAAAUCAUCAACAGGUUAUGGAGCAACACAUCAUACUUUGCUCAUCUACAGAAGCUACCACCUCCUCAGCUGCAUAUUCAUGGGUUUUUUUCCUGCAAAGCCAUUUUCUUCUACAUGUAUUUCCUUCUUUACCAAUAAAUAUACUGCUCUUCAUUUCCUGAA